rnacentral:misc_RNA from 1 species
GAAAUGCGAUAAGUAAUGUGAAUUGCAGAAUUCAGUGAAUCAUCGAAUCUUUGAACGCACAUUGCGCCCGCCAGUAUUCUGGCGGGCAUGCCUGUUCGAGCGUCAUUUCAACCCUCAGGCCCCCAGUGCCUGGCGUUGGGGAUCGGCUCGGCGUGCCUCUCCGCGGCCUCAAAAACCGCGGGGGGAGCACGCUGCCGGCCCCGAAAUUCAGUGGCGGUCUCGCUGUAGUACCCCUCUGCGUAGUAGCACAACUCGCAUUGGAACGCGGCGCGGCCAUGCCGUAAAACACCCCACUUCUGAAAGUUGACCUCGGAUCAGGUAGGAAUACCCGCUGAACUUAA